rnacentral:lncRNA from 1 species
CUUCACCUUCUAUCCUGGCCCAGCUCCUUCUUAUCAUGCUUCCUGAGCCAGUGCAGUGGUCAAUACGGAAAACCUUCCCUGACCCUCCUAGACUUGUAACCUCUGAUUCUCCACAGCACUCCCCCGCAUGCCUCUGCUACUAGACUUAUUUCACACUGAGUGUUACACAUUUAGGGAGCUGGAUGCUGGCCCUGUGUGUCUUGUGCAUGUGCUAUGCAUGGCCCAUGGCGUCCAAUCCAUUUUUGUUAUUCUGGGAGGUAACCCUUACCUUUGUUGCACUUUGCUCUUGUAAUAGGACUAAACAGGCUACCUUCAUUUCUACUCAAGCAGCAUUUAAUGAGAUUAGUCAACAAUGACAGGCGAUCCUCAUCCCCCACCAGGCCAAUUUUCCCUGGCAGGAUGGUGCUUGCCCACCUUGAUAGGUGGCAGGACAAUUACUGGGCGCCUUCUCGACCUGCUUCAAAGCUUCCUAUAACCUGGCAGUGAAUGAAAUGCACAACCUUCCAACUCAAUGACAUUUAAGGCAACCACUCAUUGGUUCAGGCAGCAAAAUAAAUUGGUACUCAGCUGCUCCCAGUCUAUUUUUCUGGUUGGAGCAAUAAAUAAAAGAAAUGAUUGUGCCACUACACAUGUGACACCAGCCUGCCCCCUCCCCAAGCAAUCACAUUCUCUCACUCUCUCUCUGGCUUUGUUCUGGUCCCCUUUAGGAACAGAGUGUUAAGGAUUGUAUUUGGGUUGCCCAGGGCUGUGUGUCUACAUUUGAGUCCUACACACACAAAUAUAAUAAAUGAAUGUGUGUACAUUUGAAUUGCAUACCCACUCCUACUGAAUUUGUAGUGCAUUCAUAUGGAAAUAUUUUCUACUAAAUAUUAUAACUCCCCCAAUAUUCUUAUUUAGUCCCUUUUAUUCAAGGGACUAAGUUGCAUCACUCAAGGGUGACAUUUAAAUGACAGUUACUACAGUAACACAGAGUAAUGACCUUGUGAAGUGCCAUAUAUUGGUGUGCUUAUCCAGUAAUUUAUAUACCCCAUAAAUACCAGUUGUGAUGUCUGAAGAGAACUUAAAAAAGACAAGAAAUCUCUUUUCCCCACACAAAUGGUUGUGAAAUAUAACAUUUUUAGAAGCACUUUGGGGAUACUUUUUUACCCCAUAAUCUCCCCCGCCCCCCAGAUUCCUUCCCUUCUAAGCAGUGAGUGUUGCAUCCCUCUGCCCCUCAAAUAUUAAAAAUAAAAACCAGAAGAUAGUCUUCUGCUCUCCCUCCCACCCCAAGGUCUUUACAAACACAAAGAGAAAAAAAAAGGAAUCUAUCAAAUCACAAGAUCCUUACCCUCUCUCAAACUAAAUCUGCUUUAAUCAGUAUGCUAGCACAUUCUGUCAAACUCCCCAACUUUUUAAGCAAUACAUUAUUCCUUCAGUUUCUGCCAAAGCUAAACCUUUGCCAGGCCCCACGGCUUUAUGAAGAGGCUGUUGCCAAGUUGACUUCUCUGUCUCAGUCAAGAGGCUGCUCCCCAGCUCUGCUCGAAAUUAAUAAGGCCAAUCAGAUAUGCACAAAGCCUGUGCAGCCAAUCAUUCUUCUCCAAGUAUUUGCCAUCUCCUCUGCGGUCAGAUAAAUCACGUUAAAGCUAUUACACCAAUGACCAUAAAUUAGGGGGCCUGGCGGUCAGUCCCUCCCGAGGACACAGCAGGCUAAGAUUAUUCCAGCGCAAGGGAGGGGAGGUGGGCCCGCGGGGUGGUGAGUUAUCUGUGGUUACAGAAUCCUGGGCCGGCGCGCAGGCUCCCGGAGGACCGUGUCUGGGCUGCGCCCAGCUGUGCACCAGCGCUCGGACGGAGAUGGCCCCAUCCCCUGGUGCGCGGACUCCAUCUGCGCCGCUCUGCCAGACUAUUUACAGCCGAGGUUCGGCCGGUGAUUGCUGGCAUGGAAAACUCAUUUCUCAGCCCGGCUUUUAUUUACACUCUUAUUAAGGAGCCUUCACUCACAUCGGAAUGGCAGCGAGUGGCUGCAGCGAGCCCUUGGCCCCCGGCCAGGCAGCCGAUCUUGGGGCGGGUGAGCCCCCGGGGCCGCCCUCGCCGGCGACCUUCCGCCCAGGGAGCGCAGUGAGCGCUGGCACAAAGGCACCAGAAACCAGGGCGCAGGAACCUGAGCGCAACACCCUGGAAAAAUUCAGUGGCCUGGUGGCUGAUUUCCCCUUGCAGUGUUGGCUGGUUCCCCGCCCCCUUGCCUGGCCAUGCUUCUUGCAAACGUGGACCGUGAGAAAAUGAAGGGUUGACAUGCUUUAACCCGCAUCCAAAAUCUUAGAUCAAGAUUCCACCCUCCCCCAGACCCCUCUCUACCCGCCCAAGCCUCUGCUGCUGGGUUGUAACCCAGCCUUCCAGGAGGGAUAGACUCCCAGUAAUGACUCCCAGGAGGGAAACUUCCUGGCUGUUCUUUCUGUUGGCACCGCAUAAAACCCAAGCAGGCCAGCGCAUGUGCGUGUGAGCCUGCAAGUCCGGAAAACCCGCCAGAAGCCUCUGCACAUCUGGGGCUCCUAACCAUGCAUAUUCAUGACUGAGAGCAGUAAAACCCAGGUCAGCUGCUUGAAGACAAUGAACUGUGUUCUUAAAGGCUAACCAAGCCCGAGAAUUGAAUAAAAAUAACAACCCCCCAGCCUCCUUUCUGAAUCCUGUGCAAAGCGUCUUAACACUUGAGACUAUUUUUUUUCCCCCUAAAAUGGACAAAGGAAACAGGGAGCAGUUUUGCAAGGGGUCAGUUUCUACAGUUUUCCUUAACUAUAGAAAUCUUGAUUCUACCUUUUCCUUAGUGUCCUCAGCCUCUGCAAGAGUAGGUAGUAUCUUCACAUCUUUUCUUCUGCACAUGGUCCCUCUUGGUUUAACUUGUUUCCUUUCUCUUCCUGUUACUCAUCCUGCCAUCUGAUGGCAUCACUCUUACCCUUUCUUCCCAGAAAGGAUGGAUCUUCUGCCCUCCUGACGCUCAUUUCUAUCACUUCCAUGCUACUCCCACAGACCCCCCCCCAUCCCCCAUUCCGGGUUUGCUGUUAUGGGCUGAAUUGUGUCCCCCAAAACUGAUUUGUUAAGACUUAAUCCUGCACUACUUAAGAAUAUGACUGUAUUUUGGAGAGAGAGCCUUUAAAGAGGUAAUUAAGGUAAAAUGAGGUUCAAUAUGACUGGUGUUCUUUUGAGAGGAAAUUCAGACAAAGAGACACCAAGAAUGCAUGCUCUCAGGCAAAAGACUGUGAAGACAACAAAAAAGGCCAAGCCAAGCCAAGGAGAGGCCAAACCUUUCCCUCAGGAUGGUUUUGGUCUGCACAGCAUUCUUUUUAUUAUGUUUAAGGUGAUCUUGUUUUUUGAUAAGAAACUAUUCACCAGUGAAAUUUCCAUGAGAUUUAUUCAUGCCCCUUCUGUUUUUCAGUUUUGCCCUGUGAUUUUAAUGUGCAGGCAGGGACUAGAAUCCCUGCAGUAAGAGGCAGGUAUUAACUAAUUAAAUGUUCAUGGCUACUGCAUUGUUGGAUUUAGGUUCCCUUAAGCUUAAAUUCUUUGGGUUUUGUUCUGCUAAAAAAUGUCAUCAUAUUAUUCUUAUUGCUGAGCCCAGAGGCAAAGGUCAAGUAGAUCAUGAAAAAUGCCCUGUUAGUAUGUGAAAUGGUUUUAUUAUUUCAGGUCAACUGAGAACAUAAAGAAAGAUGUCAAGAGCUGUGUAAUAUUGAUAACACUGCAGAAAACUACUCUCUAUCCCAGCACUUCAGGUUUUGUAAUAAAUGGUGCAGCUGGACACCAUGGUAAAAGAUUUAGCUUUUACCAUUACUUUUAUUACAGGUCACUGCUCAAGAAUGUAGGAUCUGUUUUAAGCACACUUUCUUUCAAGAGGAAUUUCAAUAUAACUGUGUUCAGUUCUUACAGACCUUGGGUAUCUUCUCUUCUUCAGCUAUUAAUUGGCAAGUAUGGAGAGCUAAAGCUUACCUGCAGCUCACUUGUUACUGAAAAAUUGAUGGAAAGUUCAUGUAUCAUGGCUAAUACCCCGAAGGUAGGGCCUUAUAUUUGACUCUGGUACUCAAUUUCAUCCUGAAAAUAAGCCUUGCCAAUAUAAACCUUUGUAAUAAGUGCUAAGGAGAUGCUGGCAUAGAGCUCCAGCUGAAUAAGAGUCAAACUAGAGUGAGAGGAAAAUAAAAUGCCUGUGGCAGAAAUAUAUUUUAUAGAUGUUGUUGGUGGGUCAGAUGAUAUUGCUUGAUUAGUACAAAGUUCAAAGUUCAGGGAUAGAGAUUGAUGUGAAAGGGCUUUGUUAAAUAUGCUAUCUAACAUAGGCUGAAUGGACACAAAAACAAGACCUACAUAUUUGCUGUUUAUAAGAGACCCACUUCAGAUCAAGAGACACAUACAGGAGUUCCCGUCAUGGCGCAGUGGUUAACGAAUCCAACUAGGAACCAUGAGGUUUCGGGUUCGGUCCCUGCCCUCGCUCAGAGGGUUAACGAUCCGGCGUUGCCAUGAGCUGUGGUGUAGGUCGCAGACGCAGCUCGGAUCCCCAGUUGCUGUGGCUCUGGCAUAGGCUGUCAGCUACAGCUCCGAUUCGACCCCUAGCCUGGGAACCUCCAUAUGCCACGAGAGCGGCCCGAGAAAUGG